rnacentral:lncRNA from 1 species
ACCUGCCCUUCUUGCCCUGGCGCCGCCUCCAGCCCAGCCCGUUUCUUGCAGAUUUUAGCUUCUCCCUUGCCUGCCGCCUUUCCCGUUUCGGCUCGGUGAAGCUACCUAUGGGUUGCUGUUCAUUUAACAAACGGUGAUCCGGAUAAACAUGUUCACUUCUUCGCCUGGGCAAACUUUCCAGCCCCCGACCCACUCAUGUCACGAUACCUUCCCGUGUCCAAGUCCGGCUCUCUGCUCCCCACUUUUUUUUUUUUUUUUUUUUGAGACAGAGUGUUUCUCUGUCUCCCAGGCUGGAGUGCAGUGGCGCGAUCUCAACUCACAGUACCCCCUGCCUCCCGGGUUCAAACGAUUUUCUUGCCUCAGCCUCCUGAGUAGCUGGGAUUACAGGCGCGCGCCACCACAGCCGGCUAAUUUUUAUGUUUUAGUAGAGACAGGGUUUCACCAUGUUGGCCAGGAUGGUCUCCAUCUCUUGACCUCGUGAUCCGCCCGCCUCGGCCUCUCAAGGUGCUGGGAUUACAGGUGUGAGCCGCCGC